rnacentral:Y_RNA from 1 species
GGCUGGUCCGAAGGUAGUGAGUUAUCUCAAUUGAUUGAUCACAACCAGUUACAAAUUUCUUUGUUCCUCCUCCACUCCCACUACUUCACUUGAACAGCAGUC